rnacentral:lncRNA from 1 species
CUGUGAAUGCGGACUCCUCUGUGCAAUUACUAGCUGAAGAAGUCGUGACACUGGACAUGCUGGACCUCGGGGUGAGCCAUGGCCGGGGAAACUGAGGCUCAGGGCAGGGCGGAUUGCUCAGGAGUCCCCUGACACCCGGGAGGCAGCUUGCGGAAGUGUGGUGCUCUGCUGCUGGUCCCGCCUGGUCCUCACACCGGCCCAUUCCUCUGCAGGCAGCCCGGGCAAACCUGGAGAAGGCGCAGUCAGAGCUGUCAGGGGCAGCAGAUGAGGCAGCACGGGCUGAGAUCCAAAUCCGGAUCGAGGCCAAUGAAGCCCUGGUGAAGGCCCUGGAGUAGGCGUACUUUGUCUGUCACCCACAGGGUAACAGAGGCAGGUCCUGGGGGGCUGAAGUCGCCACCAGGGGGCAGCAGUGCUCCGGUUACUGGCUUAAAGCUUCCCUGGUGCUGCCUGCCAGGUCAUGGAGGGCUUCCCCAGGCUUCCAGAGUCUGGGAUCCCCAGGAUGCCUCUGGAGAGCUGGCCUUGAUUGCCCCUCAAAGCCACCCGGACAGUCAGCUGGCCCAGCCUAUCUGCAUUAAAUACCAGGAACCAA